rnacentral:rRNA from 1 species
GAUGAACGCUGGCGGCGUGCCUAAUACAUGCAAGUCGAGCGAACAGACGAGGAGCUUGCUCCUCUGACGUUAGCGGCGGACGGGUGAGUAACACGUGGAUAACCUACCUAUAAGACUGGGAUAACUUCGGGAAACCGGAGCUAAUACCGGAUAAUAUAUUGAACCGCAUGGUUCAAUAGUGAAAGACGGUUUUGCUGUCACUUAUAGAUGGAUCCGCGCCGCAUUAGCUAGUUGGUAAGGUAACGGCUUACCAAGGCGACGAUGCGUAGCCGACCUGAGAGGGGGAUCGGCCACCCGGAAACUGAGCACGGGGCCAGACCCCCAGGGAGGGCAGCAGGAGGGAAUCUUCCGAAAGGGGCGAAAGCCUGACGGAGCAACGCCGGGGGGGGGAAGAAGGUUUUCGGUGUGUAAAACCCUGUUAUUAGGGAAAAAAAAAUGUUUAAGUAACAAUGCCCGUCUUGACGGUACCAAAUAAGAAAGCCACGGCAAACUACGU